CGCUGGCGGCAGGCCUAACACAUGCAAGUCGAGCGGUAGCACAGAGAGCUUGCUCUCGGGUGACGAGCGGCGGACGGGUGAGUAAUGUCUGGGAAACUGCCUGAUGGAGGGGGAUAACUACUGGAAACGGUAGCUAAUACCGCAUAACGUCGCAAGACCAAAGAGGGGGACCUUCGGGCCUCUUGCCAUCAGAUGUGCCCAGAUGGGAUUAGCUAGUAGGUGGGGUAACGGCUCACCUAGGCGACGAUCCCUAGCUGGUCUGAGAGGAUGACCAGCCACACUGGAACUGAGACACGGUCCAGACUCCUACGGGAGGCAGCAGUGGGGAAUAUUGCACAAUGGGCGCAAGCCUGAUGCAGCCAUGCCGCGUGUAUGAAGAAGGCCUUCGGGUUGUAAAGUACUUUCAGCGAGGAGGAAGGCAUUGUGGUUAAUAACCACAGUGAUUGACGUUACUCGCAGAAGAAGCACCGGCU
rnacentral:rRNA from 1 species